GGCAUGAGGCAGUGUUACUCCGAACCGCGCACCGGUCGGCCGCCAUGAUAUUCUGAGCGUGCCUUUAUUAACUCCAAACUUUGUGACAAUUGAAAGAAAACUUGUGAAAAAUGAUGUGCCUUAUCAGGAGGUGUGCCUUGGUGUGCACUCUACUCGCAACGGCGCUUGCGCAGAACACAGAGAGCAGCGGCGAUUUCACGCCUGUAGUUAGCGCCACGUGCAAGACUGGUGUCAUGUCAAUCAGGAUCAACUUCAGCCAACCUUUCAAUGGAGUCGCGCAUGCCAGAGAGUUCAGAACCCCAUCAUGCAUGGUGCUUGGGAACGGCACGGAGUCAGUAACAUUCGACGUCAGCCUCACAGCCGCAGCGGGGUCGCCAGACCACUGCGGGGUUUAUUGGAAUCACAAAACCGACGAACGAUCACUGCCUCUGGCGGUCCGCGUGCAUCGAACACUCGAGUUGGCGGAGGACAAGUUCUAUGUCAUCACGUGUGGCAAGGCCGGCAUAAGUAACUCGAGAAACGAAACAUUGACCGUGUCGCUAAGGAUGUUAAACUCAGAUGGACGCAAAGUGCUAAAUGCAGCUUUCGGAAUGCCUUACACACUUCGAGCGGAAUUAAACAAACCUGAUGGCACUCACGGAAUACGAAUGAGAAAUUGCUUCGCUUUCAGUACGCGUAACAAUACCGUAGAUCUCCUGGACAAUCGCGGGUGUCCACUAAAAGAACAGUCAGUAGCGCUGAAAACAGAAGACAAUGCUGCAGAGUUGACGAUUGCUUCAAUGUUUAAAUUCCCGAACUCUUCACAAAUCAACUUCCAAUGUGAAAUUGGAAUUUGUAAAGGUAGCUGUAUGACAACAGACUGCAAAACGGAGGGUAGAAUAGAGCCAGCAGACGAAGAAGGCGCCGUUACCGCUUCUACAGGGCUAUUCGUACUUGAUCCUAAUGACAGUGCUGUUGCAGCAUUAGCCUGCACAGAAGGCGGCGUGCGACCGCUGUGGCUGCUCUACCUGGCGAUCGCUCUUGGAGUCAUGUUCCUCGUAAUGUUGCUCAUCAACUGCUUCCUUUGCACCGCCAUGACCUGUUCUUGUGCGAGGACUGACGUGAUAGAGAAGGACCCAUCUGUGGUGGAAGACUAUGAUCCCUACCGCAGUUGGCAUGGGAGUCAGUACGGCAGCCGAUACCCAUCCUCCACUAUACACUCUGCGAGUUCUGGUUAACCAACUAGGUCAGUGUCGGACAACAGCGACCACUACGCCAUAGUCCAGUCGAGGCCGGGGAGUCGACACUCCGGCAUGCAUCGAAAUAGACACUGAUUCCAGACGGAAUACGAUGUCCCCACUGGCGCUACUUGUGAAUUUUCUACGUCAUCGCAAUAAAAGUGAUAUAAGUUGUAAAUAAUAUACUUAAUAUUUUAACAAGCGUGGUGUUCUAAUAAUUGUAGGUAUGUCUUAGCAACUUUAUGUAAUAGACCAUAUUUUAAAAUUUUAUGUCUAGGUCUCUAAAUAAUCGUAAGGCAAAAACCAUGCCGUAGAUAAAAUGUCACAGAGAAAUGAGGAGAAAAGUACAUAAUUUUGUCAACAUCACAAAAAUUCACGACAAAGGAGAAAUACUUUGAUUUGACUAAAAACAUUGAAUGUAAUGAUCUUUUGAAACACAAAUACUACCAGUUUUAAGUGAUCUCUAGGAUUUUCAUAAUAAGCUCUAUUCAUGAAAAUGAAAUUCUAAAGAUAAUUGGCUCAUAUCUUAUUGUUAUUUCCGAAAGACAUCAUUUCUAGAGCCGAUAUUUUGGCAUACUGUGAACUACUUAACGAAAGAUAAGGAACGAAAAUAAUUCGAAAAAAUAGCAUAAUACAAGAAAACAAAGUUCACGUGCCUAAUAAAAAACACAAUUAACAUCUUAAACAAGAGGUUUUUUAACAUGGAAACCAGUGGCGUAACUAUCAGCUGGCUGGGCUGGCCAAAUGUAAGGACCUUUAGUCCGCUCUGCUGUGAGCUGAAAAGUAAUUUAGUAGGCACCUACCUACUUUUUUUAAUACGUGCCGAUUUCUAAAGCCACCCAUUGAAAUGAAUUCAUUCGUCGCGGGCCUCUGGUGCUACAGUUACACCACUGAUGAGAACAGUGUUCACCUAGAAUAUCAUAUAGAUUUAUUUUUCUAUUCAUCUUAAUGUUAAAAAACUGUGUAAAUCUAGGUAUAGCCUGACUGCACACAGAAAUCAGGGAACAAGAUCUCCCGCGCAUGGAUGGCAAGGAGGAUAAGACAUCGACAGUGUGAGCUUCGAACUCGUAUCUAUCGCUCUCUUUUUAUAGUACUAAGUUAGACAGAGAGAGACAGAGAUGAAUUCAAAACUCGCACAUGCGAGUUAUAUAAAACAUCGUGACUGAAUAGCCCUACAAUACCCCCACCAGAGUCACUUGGGAGAUGAUCAACACCUACCUUGCUUUGUAGUAUUUGUUGCGUCCAAAAUUAAGGUUUUUUUAUAUUUCUAGUCAGGCUAUACUUUCUAUUUUAUAAUAAUUAAACAAAAUAAAAAAGGAUUUUUCGCCCAGAUUUGUAGCUUUAUGUUAGUAAACAUACACCUCAUAACGUGACAGUUUAUUAUAAAACUUGUGCCAUUUAAUUUCCAUAAUUGCAUCGCAUAUUUUAUGUUUUAACGAUUAUAAGCUUAUUGUACCUGCUUAUAUUUGAUUAAGAAUAUUUUUAUUUUAUGUUUCAGUAAAAAUAUUUUUUUUGUCAUAGGUAGGUAAUACCUGAGAAAUACAACGAAUCCGUCCAUUAAAUGUACCUAUAUAAAUUAGUGAUUAUGGUUAGUAAUUAAGUUAUGAACUCCGUAAAAAAUUACCACUUUCUUAAAUAUUCCCAAUAAGUUUGUGAUGUUAUGUAAAUGUAGUUUGUUAUGUCCACAUUUCCACAAAGGUUUCCAAUUAUUAAUUUCCGUAGUACCUAUCCAUACUAAUAUUUUGAAUGCGAAAGAGUCUGUGUGUCUAGCCAUUUCUCUAAACCACAGAACUGAUUUGAUUCCAAUUUAGUAUAGAGAUAAUUGGACCUUGGAACAAAAUCCAUGGUUCUCGCAGAAAUUGUAAACACAUAAUUACACGCGAACGAAGUCGCGGGCUUUCGCUGGGUAUAAAUAAUAUCUACUUAUUGUGUUAUUUACUAAUACAAAUUACAAGGUAAUCUGAAGGCAGCUUUUGUAAUCUAUAUUUGAGUAGCCAAGACAUCGACGUUUUAUAUAUAAAAAAAAUCAAAUAUCUCUUAAAAAGGUUGCGUAGCAACAAACCUUAUGAUUACCGAAUAGAUAAAUUUAUAAAAAAUAAACAUAUGCGUCGCGGAACGUUUGACAGAAGUGAUAACUUAAACCUGCUGACGUGUACGUGAGAGAAAGGGAAGCCAGACAGAACGGCGCCGUUACGUGUUACGUUACGAAACGGUUUACCGUCCCAUAUGAAGUUAUCACUUCAAUAACGGCUGUUACUUCACUUACUUAUGUAAGUACAGAAAAGUUAAAUUAAUAACAUCAACUUUACAUAAUAUCACAUUGCCAGAAGGUGCUUAAAAUUUACAGUUAAAACUUAGGUAAGUACUAUUUUAAGUGCUAACUUUAAUUAAAAAUUUAAAACUCUGAGCACGUGUUUGGCGAGGUUGUUUAGAUGAAAAUUACCUGUAGAUAUUAUAUACCUUUUAUUAUACCUAACGGUAAUAAUUUUAAAUGUAAUUUUAUUUUCAGAAUAAUACAUAAACAUUUAGGUAAACCUACAUUACCUAAAUGCCCAUAAGUAACUUAAAAUAUAAUAGAUACCUUGAUAACAUUAAAUGUAGGUAUUUUUAAUUAUAUCAGUAUUAACUACCUUUUUAAUACUUUACGUUAUAAAAAAAUAGAAAACCUACCUGUAUAAAAUAGUGAUUUAUUGCUUUACGCAAAAAAAAAAGCAUUGCGACAAUAUUUGUUAUUUACCUAAAGCUCAAAUAUAUGUAUUUCUCCCACUGGGUUUUAAAAUUUAACUAACGUUUAAACUAGUUAAUAAGUAGUUUUUAGAUAUCUGAGAAAGCUCGAGUGAUAUAAAUGUAAAAAAAUAAAUUAUAUUGUAACAAA